AGAACGAACGCUGGCGGCAGGCUUAACACAUGCAAGUCGAACGGUUGUAGCAAUACAGCAGUGGCAGACGGGUGAGUAACACGUGGGAACCUUCCUAGGGGUACGGAACAACUCAGGGAAACUUGAGCUAAUACCGUAUACGUCCGUGAGGAGAAAGAUUUAUCGCCCCUAGACGGGCCCGCGUAGGAUUAGGUAGUUGGUGGGGUAAUGGCCUACCAAGCCUACGAUCCUUAGCUGAUCUGAGAGGAUGAUCAGCCACACUGGGACUGAGACACGGCCCAGACUCCUACGGGAGGCAGCAGUGGGGAAUCUUGGACAAUGGGCGCAAGCCUGAUCCAGCCAUGCCGCGUGAGUGAAGAAGGCCUUCGGGUUAGUAAAGCUCUUUUACCAGGGACGAUAAUGACGGUACCUGGAGAAUAAGCCCGGCAAACUUCGUAGCCAGCAGCCGC
rnacentral:rRNA from 1 species